rnacentral:piRNA from 1 species
GAAGCAAAUGUAGUGGAACUGGCCAGA